CUGGCGGCAUGCCUAACACAUGCAAGUCGAACGCGAAAGCCUUCGGGUGAGUAGAGUGGCGGACGGGUGAGUAACGCGUGGGAAUCUGCCCUGUAGUGGGGAACAACCCGGGGAAACUCGGGCUAAUACCGCAUACGUCCUACGGGAGAAAGGGGGCCUUCGGGCUCUCGCUGCAUGAUGAGCCCACGUCCGAUUAGUUAGUUGGUUAGGUAACGGCUAACCAAGACUGUGAUGGGUAGGGGUUCUGAGAGGAUUAUCCCCCACACUGGUACUGAGACACGGACCAGACUCCUACGGGAGGCAGCAGUAAGGAAUAUUGGGCAAUGGACGCAAGUCUGACCCAGCCAUGCCGCGUGCAGGAUGACGGCCUUAUGGGUUGUAAACUGCUUUUGUAUGGGAUUAAAGUGUUGUACGUGUACGACAUUGCAAGUACCAUACGAAUAAGCAUCGGCUAACUCCGUGCCAGCAGCCGCGGUAAUACGGAGGAUGCAAGCGUUAUCCGGAAUCAUUGGGUUUAAAGGGUGCGUAGGUUGAUUAUUAAGUCAGUGGUGAAAAUUCCGGGCUCAACCCGGGACUUGCCGUUGAAACUGAUAAUCUUGAGUGUAACUGAUGUGGGCGGAAUGUGUCAAGUAGCGGUGAAAUGCAUAGAUAUGGCACAGAACACCGAUAGCGAAGGCAGCUCACAAAAUUACAACUGACACUGAGGCACGAAAGCGUGGGUAUCAAACAGGAUUAGAUACCCUGGUAGUCCACGCUGUAAACGAUGAUCACUAGCUGUUUGCGAUACAUUGUAAGUGGUUAAGCGAAAGCGAUAAGUGAUCCACCUGGGGAGUACGUCGGCAACGAUGAAACUCAAAGGAA
rnacentral:rRNA from 1 species